rnacentral:rRNA from 1 species
GCCUGAGAAGGUGAUGGCCCCACUGGGAUUGAGCACGGCCCAGAUUCUUCGGGAAGCAGCAGUAGGGAUCUUCGGCAAUGGGGCAACCCUGACCGAACAACGCCGCGUGAAUGAAGAAGGUUUCGGAUCGUAAACUCUGUUGUUAGAGAAGACGUUAAGUAGAGUGGAAAUUACUUAAGUGACGGUAUCUAACCAGAAAGGGACGGCUAACUACGUGCCAGCAGCCGCGGUAAUACGUAGGUCCCAAGCGUUGUCCGGAUUUAUUGGGCGUAAAGCGAGCGCAGGUGGUUUCUUAAGUCUGAUGUAAAAGGCAGUGGCUCAACCAUUGUGUGCAUUGGAAACUGGGAGACUUGAGUGCAGGAGAGGAGAGUGGAAUUCCAUGUGUAGCGGUGAAAUGCGUAGAUAUAUGGAGGAACACCGGAGGCGAAAGCGGCUCUCUGGCCUGUAACUGACACUGAGGCUCGAAAGCGUGGGGAGCAAACAGGAUUAGAUACCCUGGUAGUCCACGCCGUAAACGAUGAGUGCUAGCUGUAGGGAGCUAUAAGUUCUCUGUAGCGCAGCUAACGCAUUAAGCACUCCGCCUGGGGAGUACGACCGCAAGGUUGAAACUCAAAGGAAUUGACGGGGGCCCGCACAAGCGGUGGAGCAUGUGGUUUAAUUCGAAGCAACGCGAAGAACCUUACCAGGUCUUGACAUACUCGUGCUAUCCUUAGAGAUAAGGAGUUCCUUCGGGACACGGGAUACAGGUGGUGCAUGGUUGUCGUCAGCUCGUGUCGUGAGAUGUUGGGUUAAGUCCCGCAACGAGCGCAACCCUUAUUACUAGUUGCCAUCAUUAAGUUGGGCACUCUAGUGAGACUGCCGGUGAUAAACCGGAGGAAGGUGGGGAUGACGUCAAAUCAUCAUGCCCCUUAUGACCUGGGCUACACACGUGCUACAAUGGAUGGUACAACGAGUCGCCAACCCGCGAGGGUGCGCUAAUCUCUUAAAACCAUUCUCAGUUCGGAUUGCAGGCUGCAACUCGCCUGCAUGAAGUCGGAAUCGCUAGUAAUCGCGGAUCAGCACGCCGCGGUGAAUACGUUCCCGGGCCUUGUACACACCGCCCGUCACACCACGGAAGUUGGGAGUACCCAAAGUAGGUUGCCUAACCGCAAGGAGGGCGCUCCUAAGUAGA